rnacentral:lncRNA from 1 species
UGGGCAAUGGUGGAGCCUUGGAUCUAAUGGAGAGAUAUAUAUAGCCUCGGGAUGGUCCAUAUCAUUUUCUAUGAGGCCGUCCUUAUCCUAACCUAGCAAUGGGUUCAAGGACUAGAUCCGGCCUCUUGCCCUUCUUCCCUACCACAUGUCCCAUAGUUGGUACAUCUUUCAAAAAAAAAUUAUGGAGAGGAUUAUGGAGAGAUAUGUGUAAAAGGUUGGGGAUAGCAGCAGGCCUCCACUUUGUC